GAGUUUGAUCCUGGCUCAGAUUGAACGCUGGCGGCAUGCCUUACACAUGCAAGUCGAACGGCAGCAUGAUCUAGCUUGCUAGAUUGAUGGCGAGUGGCGAACGGGUGAGUAAUACAUCGGAACGUGCCCUGUAGUGGGGAUAACUAGUCGAAAGAUUAGCUAAUACCGCAUACGACCUGAGGGUGAAAGUGGGGGACCGCAAGGCCUCAUGCUAUAGGAGCGGCCGAUGUCUGAUUAGCUAGUUGGUGGGGUAAAGGCCCACCAAGGCGACGAUCAGUAGCUGGUCUGAGAGGACGAUCAGCCACACUGGGACUGAGACACGGCCCAGACUCCUACGGGAGGCAGCAGUGGGGAAUUUUGGACAAUGGGCGAAAGCCUGAUCCAGCAAUGCCGCGUGUGUGAAGAAGGCCUUCGGGUUGU
rnacentral:rRNA from 1 species